AUGGCGGAGACGAUAGCCUCCAUGCGCCGCCCGAAGCGUGGCCGCCCGCCAAGGCCGAGGGAGAGCGACUUCGUGACCGGCGAAGAGUUUGAGGACGAGGAGGAGGGGGAGGACCACGGGGAGGCGGCCGAUGGGCUCGCGCCGCCCCGGUCUAAGCGCAAGCGCGAGGCGUCCGCCGCCGCCGCCGCCGCGCUCGAGGAUUUGACUCUCAUCGACAUAGUCAAACAUAAUGGCAGGCUAAUCAGCCAUGCUGUCAAAAGAUUGGUCGAGGAUUAUGAAUCAAAUCCAAAGUCAGUGCUAUUUCAGAUAUUAACAAUGUUAUUUGAGGUUUGUGGCGCCAGACAUGAUAUAUAUGCAAGCGACCUUCAUGAGGCAGCUGUGGAUGACAUUGUAUUCAAACUAGCUGAGCUAGCAAGAAAAGGUCUGGUGGAUGAUAAUUAUAGCUCAAAAAGGAAGGACCUUAAGAACUUCAAAGAAAAUCUUGUUACCUUUUGGGAUAGUUUGGUCCUUGAGUGUCAGAAUGGUCCAUUAUUUGAUGAUAACUUAUUCACGACAAUCAAGGAUUACGUGGUUGCGAUAUCAUGUACUCCCCCAAGGGUUUAUCGUCAAGUAGCUUCAUUGGUUGGGCUCCAGCUUGUGACGUCCUUCAUAUCUGUCGCCAAGACUCUCAGUGGACAGCGUGAGACCACCCAAAGGCAGUUGAAUGCAGAGAAGAAGAAGCACAGUGAUGGGCCAGCUGUUGAAUCUCUCAACAAAAGGCUAUCUAUUACUCAUGAAAAUAUUACAUAUUUGGAGGAAUCGAUGCGUAAAAUAUUCAGCGGGUUAUUCAUGCACCGUUAUCGGGAUGUUGACCCUGAGAUCCGAAUGUUAUGCAUAAAAUCCCUAGGUAUUUGGGUUGUCUCAUAUCCAUCACUGUUCUUACAAGAUAUAUAUUUAAAGUAUCUUGGGUGGACACUGAAUGACAAGAAUGCUGGAGUUAGAAGAACUUCUAUUCUUGCCUUGCAAAGCCUGUAUGAUGUAGAUGACAACAUACCUUCUCUUGGUCUCUUUACGGAGAGGUUUUAUAGCAGGAUGAUCCAGCUUGCUGAUGAUAUUGAUAUUUCAGUAGCUGUGCCAGCUAUAGGACUCAUCAAGCAAUUACUUCGGCAUCAACUUUUGAGUGACGAUGAUUUGGGUCCCCUAUAUGAUUUGCUUAUUGACGAACCUCCUAUGAUCAGGCGUGCAAUAGGGGAGUUAGUUUAUGAUCACCUGAUAGCACAAAACUGCAAGACCCCUUCUGUAGCUAGAGAUGGGGACAAUGAAUCCUCCGAGAUUCACAUUAGUCGAAUGCUGCACAUCUUAAGGGAAUUUUCGGAUGACCCAGUCCUGAGUUCUUACGUCAUUGAUGAUAUUUGGGAUGACAUGAAGGCCAUGAAAGACUGGAAGUGUGUAAUCUCCAUGCUUCUUGAUGAAACUCCGAUAGCUGAGCUUACUGACAUGGAUGGAACAAAUCUAGUUCGGAUGCUGCGAGCCUCUGCUAAGAAGGCUGUUGGGGAAAGAAUAGUUCUUGCAACUGACAAUAGGAAGAUGUACUAUAACAAAGCCCAAAAGGAGAUAUUAGAAAAUAGCAAGAGUGACAUAACCAAUGCCUUGAUGAAGAGGUACCCGCAACUUUUGAGAAAAUACUUGCCUGACAAGGCCAAGAUAUCCCCUCUAAUUGAUAUGAUGAUGCUUUUGAAACUUGAGAUGUACUCACUGAAGAGGCAAGAGCAGAAUUUCAAGGCCGCCAUAGAUCUCAUUGUUGAUGCCUUCUUCAAACAUGGUGACAAGGAUACUUUAAGAUCUUGCAUCAAGGCAAUAGCUUUCUGUUGCACGAAGUGUCAGGCGGAUCUUCUAGAUUAUGCUGAAAAUAAACUUAAGACUCUUGAAGAUGAGUUGGUUUUGAAAGUCAAAACUGCGAUCAAGGAAGUAGAGGCAGGUGAUGAUGAAUAUUCUCUCUUGGUUAAUUUGAAGCGACUUCAUGAACUUCAGUUGUCAAAACCUGUUAAAAAUGAUGGUUUAUUUGAAGAUAUGUACCGAAUCCUCAGUCAUCUAAAAGAGAUGGACAAUGAGGUAAAGAGCUUUCUCCUCAUCAACAUGUUCCUUGAAGUAGCAUGGUGCCUUCAUGCAAUUGACGUUGAAAACCCAUCUGAAACAUCUAUCGAGGGACUUUCUUCCAAGCAAAGGUCUCUCUUUGAACAACUCUAUUAUUUCUUGGUGGUUCUGUCCAAUUAUCAGAAAGAGGGAAGGAGCACCACUGUGCUUUCCUCCAGAGUCUGCACCAUUACUGCAGAGAUGUGGUGCUUGUUUAAGAAGUCAAAGUAUUCUUCAACAAAGCUAAAAAAUUUGGGUUAUCUCCCACAAUUAGAAUAUGUUCAGAAGUUUUGGAAACUAUGUGAACAGCAGCUGAAUAUAUCAGAUGACACAGAAGAUGAAGACGCAAACGAAGAAUAUAUUGAAGACACAAACAGGGAUGCUGUCAUGAUUGCAGCUGCAAAGCUACUGCUUGCUGAUACAGUUUCGAAGGAUUACCUUGGCCCUGAGAUUGUUUCACACUAUGUAUCUCAUGGUGCAAGUACGACAGAGAUCAUCAAGCAUCUCAUUACCGCACUAAAGAAAAAUGCAAACAGUGAUAUAGCUGCUCUAUUCUUUGAGGCAUUGAGACGGGUACUUCUGUUUAUCUUUGAAUGCACUUGCUAUUUAUUCACAAAUUUACAAGUGUACGAACGGUAUAUGGCCUAUUUGCGCGAAGGAGAGAACCAAAACCUGAUAGCCAAAUCUUACUCGGAGUGUCAAGAUCUUGCUAAUCGGCUUGCAGGCUACUAUGUUGGCGCUGUUCGUAUUAAAAACAAGUCUGAGAUCUUAAAGAUUAUCCAGUGCGGUGUUCAAUUUGCCUUUGUGGACCUCCCAAAGCAAUUGUCUUUCCUCGAGGCUGCUCUUGUGCCAUUUGUUUCUAAACUUCCUUCGUCAGAUAUACCAGACAUUUUGACAGAUGUACAGAAGAGGGCACAAGAUAUCGAUAUGAAUGAAGAUCCCAGUGCUUGGCGCCCGUACUUAACCUUUGUAGAACACUUACGUGAGAAACAUGCAAGGAAUGAGGUUUUCCAUGAAGAAAAGGAGGAAAAGCCUGUAAAGCGCAGGGGCCGCCCGAGGAAGCCUAGAGAUGAACCUGUGAGAAAUCUUUUUGAUGGAAACAAAUCUAGUGAUGAAGAGUCUGUUAGUGACUCUGACCAACGGGGGCAUGGUGGAGAUGACGACGACGAGGAUGAUGCUUUUGACCAGCCUUUGAUCAACACGUUUAGGCCUUCCGCAUCCAAGCUAAGAUCGCUGAAGGGGGUUUCUCAACAGGGAACAAGCAGUCAGAGAAAAGCUCCUACGGCUUCAGGAAGCAAUAGCUGA
rnacentral:rRNA from 1 species